rnacentral:snRNA from 1 species
GAAUAUGUGACUGGGCCAUGUCAUGUGUCUCCCCACUGAUCACCAGGUUCGAUUGUGUUGCUCUGACUUGCUGGGCAGGUGUCCCCUUCCUCCCUGACACUUUCCAUUGUCAUCCUUUCUGAGGGUGUGUGUUUAACUGAAGAGGAGGAUCUGCCCUGAUGGAGGAGAACAAUGUGCUCCUUAG